UUCAUGCCAAGGGAAGAUGCCUGUCGUAGACCAACUGUCCCUCUAUAAUGUGACCAGGUUACGGUGAGGUAGCUUAGUGGUUAAAGCGUGUGAUCUUCCUGCCAAGGGAAGAUGCCUGUCGAAGACCAACUGUCCCUCUAUAAUGUGACCAGGUUAAGGUGAGGUAGCUUAGUGGUCAAAGCGUGUGAUCUUCCUGCCAGAGAUUCCAUGUACACACAAUGUCUGCAGCCUGUUGUCUACUGUUGUGAUGUUGCUGGAAUAUUGCUGGAAUAUUGCUAACAGUGACAUAAAUGGGUUGAAGAUCAUGACAUUUCUCAAAACAAAAUGAUUACAAGAUAAUUAAUUUGUUAUUUUUGCAUGUAAUUUAACAAGUCUCUGGUCCCAGAUCCAUGUUUGUUUGUACUGUGUUUUGCCCUCGUGUUUGACACAGAUGUACAGCAUGUGUCCAAGUGAUGGACUGUGCAGGUGUACCACUCCCAGACUGUAUGUUGGUUCUGGAGAAGUCUUCACUGGACAUGUUUUUAUGAAAGUUGAAUAUUUUCAUGAAGGUAUAAUUGUAAAUGGUGACAGUUUUUGUGCUCAUCAUGCUAUUGAAAAUACAAUAAAGUCAUACCGUUCAAUAAA